GAAUACGCGGGGUGGUCGGUUUGCGAGAGCUGGAUCCAUGAAGCUGCGGCUGGAAUGAGAAUUGGGAAGGCAAGUUUCCAAGGUUGAGGCGGUUAUCACGUGUCGGGGUCAAAGCUCAUGUGGGCAGCUGGGGCUUCAAAAGGCACUCCGAAAAUUCGAAUGAGAUGAAUCCAUAGAAAUCCACAUUGGAGGGUCAGAAUCAAGUUCAGCUUCGCAACAGUGAAACCCAAUUUCAUAAUUCAGCAUACUUCGGUGAAGUGGAAACAAAAAUUUCAAGAGAGAUGAUAUAUAUAUAUACUGUACAUGAGUGCGGAAUACUUCGUUGUGGAAUUACGGG
rnacentral:sRNA from 2 species